rnacentral:rRNA from 1 species
GACGAACGCUGGCGGCGUGCCUAACACAUGCAAGUCGAGCGAAGUGAGAACUACGGUACGAACUUAGCGGCGGACGGGUGAGUAACGCGUGGACAAUCUACCCUGUAGACUGGGAUAACACCUCGAAAGGGGUGCUAAUACCGGAUAAUGUCGAGAAGCGGCAUCGCUUUUCGAAGAGAGGAGAGAAUCCGCUAUAGGAGGAGUCCGCGUCCCAUUAGCUAGUUGGUGAGGGUAACGGCCCACCAAGGCGACGAUGGGUAGCCGGCCUGAGAGGGUGAACGGCCACACUGGAACUGAGGCACGGUCCAGACUCCUACGGGAGGCAGCAGUGGGGAAUAUUGUGCAAUGGGGGAAACCCUGACACAGCAACGCCGCGUGAGCGAAGAAGGCCUUCGGGUUGUAAAGCUCAAUAGUAUGGGAAGAUAAUGACGGUACCAUACGAAAGCCCCGGCUAACUACGUGCCAGCCGCCGCGGUAAAAC